AAGCUUGCCAGUUUAACAACUCUGUUCACUGUUCCUAUUGCACAGUGGGCUCUUUGACGCAACAGAAAGAGCUGCCUCUCUCUCUCUCUCUCUCUCUCUUUUUUUUUUUUUUUGCUUCCUCUUAAAUCCGCCUGGCCAAUUUAAAGCUUGUGGAUAUUUCUUCCCCCUCGGGGAAAGCUUAUGUGAGGAUUUUCUUUUUUAACAGUUCAUUCCAUGAAACCGUUUUUUUCUUGUUUGCUGUUAGAAAAUGUUGGAGCUGAACACGAGGCUUUCAUUGCAGUGCACUUUACUGGGAAGCAUGUUACUCCUAAGCACAUGCUGCCUGCAGGGAAGAUAGUUAUUUGCUAUUUUGUAUUUCAUCUUAGAUGCUGUCAAGGGAACUAGGAAAGGAUGUAAACAUAUUGUUAAUGUCUGUCUUCAAGCUGUGUUUGAGGAAGUGCAUAUCUUUGAAAGGUUGAAUCAUUAUUUAUGAGGAUCAUUACAGCUGAAAGGUGUCACUGCAAUAUUGGUCAUAUGCAACUGCAUUGCAAAUGAAAUUUGUAUGGGAUACCACUGUUGGCUGUAAAGUGUGCUGCAAAUGGUCUAUUGCAUAAGCCUCUAGUGGAGUGUGUUCUCAGGAAAUGACUCUUAGCUUGAAUUACCCUGGAAAAGAGGCUGCCUAAAAGCAAGUCUUCCUACUCAUUACAGCAGGUUUCCAUAUGAACAGAAACAAAGACUCAGAAGCACGGAGCUCAUCUCCUUAAAAAAAAAUCUCUUCCAAUAUUCUGG